CCCUUAGAGUUUGAUCCUGGCUCAGAGCGAACGCUGGCGGCAGGCUUAACACAUGCAAGUCGAGCGGGCGUAGCAAUACGUCAGCGGCAGACGGGUGAGUAACGCGUGGGAACAUACCUUUUGGUUCGGAACAACACAGGGAAACUUGUGCUAAUACCGGAUAAGCCCUUACGGGGAAAGAUUUAUCGCCGAAAGAUCGGCCCGCGUCUGAUUAGCUAGUUGGUGAGGUAAUGGCUCACCAAGGCGACGAUCAGUAGCUGGUCUGAGAGGAUGAUCAGCCACAUUGGGACUGAGACACGGCCCAAACUCCUACGGGAGGCAGCAGUGGGGAAUAUUGGACAAUGGGCGCAAGCCUGAUCCAGCCAUGCCGCGUGAGUGAUGAAGGCCCUAGGGUUGUAAAGCUCUUUUGUGCGGGAAGAUAAUGACGGUACCGCAAGAAUAAGCCCCGGCUAACUUCGUGCCAGCAGCCGCGGUAAUACGAAGGGGGCUAGCGUUGCUCGGAAUCACUGGGCGUAAAGGGUGCGUAGGCGGGUCUUUAAGUCAGGGGUGAAAUCCUGGAGCUCAACUCCAGAACUGCCUUUGAUACUGAAGAUCUUGAGUUCGGGAGAGGUGAGUGGAACUGCGAGUGUAGAGGUGAAAUUCGUAGAUAUUCGCAAGAACACCAGUGGC
rnacentral:rRNA from 1 species